AUUGAACGCUGGCGGCAGGCCUAACACAUGCAAGUCGAACGAGUGGCGGACGGGUGAGUAAUGUCUGGGAAACUGCCUGAUGGAGGGGGAUAACUACUGGAAACGGUAGCUAAUACCGCAUACCAUCGGAUGUGCCCAGAUGGGAUUAGCUAGUAGGUGGGGUAACGGCUCACCUAGGCGACGAUCCCUAGCUGGUCUGAGAGGAUGACCAGCCACACGGGACCUGAGACACGGUCCAGACUCCGACGGGAGGCAGCAGUGGGGAUUAUGGCACAAUGGGCCAAAGCCUGAUGCAGCCAUGCCGCGGGUAUGAAGAAGGCCUUCGGGUUGUAAAGUACUUUCAGCGGGGAGGCGUUACCCGCAGAAGAAGCACCGGCUAACUCCGUGCCAGCCGCCGCGGUAAUUC
rnacentral:rRNA from 1 species